GACGAACGCUGGCGGCGUGCUUAACACAUGCAAGUCGAACGGAAAGGCCCUGCUUGCAGGGUACUCGAGUGGCGAACGGGUGAGUAACACGUGGGUGAUCUGCCCUGCACUUCGGGAGAAGCCUGGGACACUGGGUCUAAUACCGGAUAGGACCAUCGUUUAGUGUCGGUGGUGGAAAGUUUUUCGGUGCAGGAUGAGCUCGCGGCCUAUCAGCUUGUUGGUGGGGUAAUGGCCUACCAAGGCGUCGACGGGUAGCCGGCCUGAGAGGGUGGACGGCCACAUUGGGACUGAGACACGGCCCAGACUCCUACGGGAGGCAGCAGUGGGGAAUAUUGCACAAUGGGCGCAAGCCUGAUGCAGCGACGCCGCGUGGGGGAUGAAGGCCUUCGGGUUGUAAACUCCUUUCAACCAUGACGAAGCGUAAGUGACGGUAGUGGUAGAAGAAGCACCGGCUAACUUCGUGCCAGCAGCCGCGGUAA
rnacentral:rRNA from 1 species